GAUGAACGCUGGCGGCGCGCCUAACACAUGCAAGUCGAACGGCACCCACCUCCGGGUGGAAGCGAGUGGCGAACGGCUGAGUAACACGUGGAGAACCUGCCCCCUCCCCCGGGAUAGCCGCCCGAAAGGACGGGUAAUACCGGAUACCCCGGGGUGCCGCAUGGCACCCCGGCUAAAGCCCCGACGGGAGGGGAUGGCUCCGCGGCCCAGCAGGUAGACGGCGGGGUGACGGCCCACCGUGCCGACAACGGGUAGCCGGGUUGAGAGACCGACCGGCCAGAUUGGGACUGAGACACGGCCCAGACUCCUACGGGAGGCAGCAGUGGGGAAUCUUGCGCAAUGGGGGGAACCCUGACGCAGCGACGCCGCGUGCGGGACGGAGGCCUUCGGGUCGUAAACCGCUUUCAGCAGGGAAGAGUCAAGACUGUACCUGCAGAAGAAGCCCCGGCUAACUACGUGCCAGCCGCCGCGGUAA
rnacentral:rRNA from 1 species